AGCAGCGUGGCUCAGUGGAAAGAGCAUGGGCUUGGGAGUCAGAGGUCAUGGGUUCUAAUCCCGGCUCUGCUG
rnacentral:tRNA from 1 species